AACAGUUCCAUUGGCAUUUAACGCACAGAAGAAUUCUCUCUGAAGUGCAGAAUCUUGUAUCGGAAGAGAAGCUAGCAAUCGACAAAACCGGGGAUCGAAGUCUACUUCAUACGAGAUUUGUGUAUCUACAUCUUGAGAGAGUGAGAGAGAGAGAGAAGAUGGGAGGCGAAGAAGAAAGGAAGAAGAGGGUGGUGGUGGAAUCUCUGGGAUGGCUGACGGAAUCUUCAAUAAUGCCGAAGAAGCACCGCGCCAUCGAAGGCGUGGGUCCUUCCUCCAUCAUGGAGCUCAAGGCUCAGCUCUACAGAUCCCAGGAAGAAUCCAAAAAUUCCAAGGAUUUGGCCUCCUCCGACGUUCACUACCACCGCGCCAAGCAGAGGAUCGCUGCGCACAAUUCCUUCUCCGGAAAGAACUCCGGCGUCGAGGCUCGCGCCCGAAAAGACAAGCUCGAGCUUAAAGCAGUGAAAGAUGGAUCUGCAAGCUAUGCAGCUUUGGAGAAAAAGGCCGAGUUGUAUGAAAAGCUUGUAAGGGGACAACUGUCUGACGAAGAAGAUCAGGAGAAGUAUUGUGUCGAUUUCUUCCGGAAGGGUAUAGAACAAGAAGAACCACUCCAACCGGAAGGUUCUGCAUCAGCAUUGGCACCUCCCGACGAUGAAAAGGGUGAGGAUGAAGGUGAUGAGGGUUCUCUGUUUAGUACCAGCUUUGUCGGACCUGGACGGACUGUUGGAACAGCCAACACGAGUGAUCAUGUCCGUAUGGUCAGGGAGGUUCAUGAAGAAGUGAAUCGAGCAAGAGAGAAAGCAACGGAGCUGAAACAGAGGAGGGAAGAGCAGGCAGCAGCUCGUCGGGAGAAACUCAGACAGGCUUACCUUCGCAAGCAGCUCGAGAAACGUAAGGCUCAACAACAACAAGCCACCACAGAAUGAUGGGCCAACCACACAUAAAUUUGGGGAUGUGUUCUCUAUAUGCUGCCGCCAUUAACAGGGAGCUGUUCAAGAAACAAAAAAAAAAAAAGACAGUAAAUGGAGCUUUGGUUGGACAUUUAAAAAAGGUGAUAGUCUCCAUAUUCACGACAAGUAAGUAAAUUCACCAGUUGAUGGGCAAUAAAAAUGCAAGCUUUUAGCGACCCUUUGGCCGUACAAACAGAGAAAUUUGUAGAAGACCUUAACUCUUAGUACUCCUAGUCAAGUCUACUCCCAAAGGCCGAAACUUUGCUACCGAAGAAUUUGUUCUUCUUCCUGAAUUUGCGAAUAUCAACCAGCCUAGAUUCACUCUUUUAAGAAUGUAGUGUUGAUUAUAUAAAUGCAGAUGAAUAAAUGGAAAAAAGAAUGAAAAUACUUAUAUUGCACCAA